CCUACGGGGGGCUGCAGUGGGGAAUAUUGGACAAUGGGGGGAACCCUGAUCCAGCCAUGCCGCGUGUGUGAAGAAGGCCCUCGGGGUGUAAAGCACUUUCAGUGAGGAAGAACGCCUGGUGGUUAAUACCCAUCAGGAAAGACAUCACUCACAGAAGAAGCACCGGCUAACUCCGUGCCAGCAGCCGCGGUAAUACGGAGGGUGCGAGCGUUAAUCGGAAUUACUGGGCGUAAAGCGCGCGUAGGUGGCUUGAUAAGCCGGUUGUGAAAGCCCCGGGCUCAACCUGGGAACGGCAUCCGGAACUGUCAAGCUAGAGUGCAGGAGAGGAAGGUAGAAUUCCCGGUGUAGCGGUGAAAUGCGUAGAGAUCGGGAGGAAUACCAGUGGCGAAGGCGGCCUUCUGGACUGACACUGCCACUGAGGUGCGAAAGCGUGGGUAGCAAACAGGAUUAGAUACCCGGGUAGUC
rnacentral:rRNA from 1 species